rnacentral:rRNA from 1 species
AUUGAACGCUGGCGGCAGGCCUAACACAUGCAAGUCGAGCGGAGCGGCGGACGGGUGAGUAAUGCCUAGGAAUCUGCCUGGUAGUGGGGGAUAACGACCGGAAACGGGCGCUAAUACAGCCUACUAUCAGAUGAGCCUAGGUCGGAUUAGAUAGUUGGUGGGGUAAAGGCAUACCAAGGCGACGAUCCGUAACUGGUAGGAGAGGAUGAGCAGUCAAACGGGACAUGGGACACGGUCCACACUCCUACGGGAGUCAGCAGUGGGGAAUAUUGGACAAUGGGCGAAAGCCUUAUCCAGCCAGGCCGCGUGUGUGAAGAAGGUCUUCGGAUUGUAAAGCACUGUAAGUUUCGAUGCGUUACCAACAGAAUAAGCACCGGCUAACUUCGUGCCAGCAGCCGCGGUAAUUC